rnacentral:rRNA from 1 species
GCGAAAACUUUACAAUGCUGGCAACAGCGAUAAGGGAACCUCGAGUGCCAGGUUACAAAUCUGGCUGUCGAGAUGCCUAAAAAGCAUUUCAUAGCAAGGGCCGGGCAAGACCGGUGCCAGCCGCCGCGGUAACACCGGCGGCUCGAGUGGUAACCGUUAUUAUCGGGUCUAAAGGGUCUGUAGCCGGCCGGAUAAGUCUCUUGAGAAAUCUGGCAGCUUAACUGUCAGGCUUUCAGGAGAUACUGUCUGGCCCGAGGCCGGGAGAGGUGAGAGGUACUUCAGGGGUAGGGGUGAAAUCUUGUAAUCCUUGAAGGACCACCAGUGGCGAAGGCGUCUCACCAGAACGGACCUGACGGCAAGGGACGAAAGCUAGGGGCACGAACC